CAGCCGCCGCGGUAAUACGUAGGUGGCAAGCGUUGUCCGGAAUUAUUGGGCGUAAAGGGCUCGCAGGCGGUUUCUUAAGUCUGAUGUGAAAGCCCCCGGCUCAACCGGGGAGGGUCAUUGGAAACUGGGAAACUUGAGUGCAGAAGAGGAGAGUGGAAUUCCACGUGUAGCGGUGAAAUGCGUAGAGAUGUGGAGGAACGCCGGUGGCGAAGGCGACUCUCUGGUCUGUAACUGACGCUGAGGAGCGAAAGCGUGGGGAGCGAACAGGAUUAGAUACCCCCGUAGUCCCUGUCUCUUAUAC
rnacentral:rRNA from 1 species